AGACUCUACCGUCUCAAGAAGCACUUUGAGAAGAUUAAGGAGUAAUUCGCCCACACGAAUUUCGCUAAUUCCGGGCAUUAUCCGGGUCACGCUUCAAGAAAUUUCGAUUAAAAUCUAUAAUUAUGUGUUGUCUAUAUUACAUACAAGUGAUACUAGCUAUUUACUUCCGCUAUUCCUUUCUUUGUUACAACUGAAUUGAUGACUGGUUUAAUUUAGUUGUAUUGUGGAACGCUUCUGUUCAAUUAUGCAAACAAUGGGUUUUUGGAUUUUUAAAGUUUGCUGAUAGUUUGG
rnacentral:lncRNA from 1 species